rnacentral:rRNA from 1 species
UGGGGAAUUUUGGACAAUGGGGGAAACCCUGAUCCAGCCAUGCCGCGUGGGUGAAGAAGGCCUUCGGGUUGUAAAGCCCUUUCGGCGGAGACGAAACGGUGCGCGCUAAUAACGUGCACUACUGACGGUAUCCGCAGAAGAAGCACCGGCUAACUACGUGCCAGCAGCCGCGGUAAUACGUAGGGUGCGGGCGUUAAUCGGAAUUACUGGGCGUAAAGCGUGCGCAGGCGGUCUCUUAAGUCAGAUGUGAAAUCCCCGGGCUUAACCUGGGAACUGCGUUUGAAACUGGGAGGCUGGAGUGUGGCAGAGGGGGGUGGAAUUCCACGUGUAGCAGUGAAAUGCGUAGAUAUGUGGAGGAACACCGAUGGCGAAGGCAGCCCCCUGGGCUAACACUGACGCU